GCCUUCUCCCCAACUGCUGCAGGCUCCCCGGGGGCCCCCGUUUCCUUCCAAGAGACCUUCUCCACGUUUGGGUCAGCGUUCAUUCCCCACUUUCUUCCCAACGGAAACCCAGAUCCAGGGACCCGGCACCCUCCGUCCACGUGAGCACAGACCGGAGAGGUCAGACUCUAGACCCCGGACAGGUUUCGUGUUGGCCAGAGCCCCUGGGGCGGGAGGCAGGCUCCCCAAGGCUGAAGGCACCUGCGUUAAAUGUCCGCAUGUGGUGCCUGCGUCCUGUGUUCAAACACUGGCAGGAAACUGUGUCCACAGGAGGAGAUCUUGGUAUUAUCAUGAGCUAAAGCCUCUUUCAGAUAUAAUUCACAUACCAGACGUCCACCAUUUAACGUGUAAAGCUCACUGGUUUUAGUGUAUUCAGGUAUGUGCCCCCACAAUCAAUUCUAGACGAUUUCAUCACCUCCCAGAGAAACCCUAAAGCUUUUAGCUCUCACCUUCCUCUGGCCGGAGCAACUGCUAAUCCCUUUUGUCCCCGUGGAUUCCCCUGUUCUGGACAUUUCACAUAAAGGGAAUCACAUAAUGU